CCUACGGGUGGCUGCAGUGGGGAAUAUUGCACAAUGGGCGCAAGCCUGAUGCAGCCAUGCCGCGUGUGUGAAGAAGGCCUUCGGGUUGUAAAGCACUUUCAGCGGGGAGGAAGGCGGUGAGGUUAAUAACCUCAUCGAUUGACGUUACCCGCAGAAGAAGCACCGGCUAACUCCGUGCCAGCAGCCGCGGUAAUACGGAGGGUGCAAGCGUUAAUCGGAAUUACUGGGCGUAAAGCGCACGCAGGCGGUCUGUCAAGUCGGAUGUGAAAUCCCCGGGCUCAACCUGGGAACUGCAUUCGAAACUGGCAGACUAGAGUCUUGUAGAGGGGGGUAGAAUUCCAGGUGUAGCGGUGAAAUGCGUAGAGAUCUGGAGGAAUACCGGUGGCGAAGGCGGCCCCCUGGACAAAGACUGACGCUCAGGUGCGAAAGCGUGGGGAGCAAACAGGAUUAGAUACCCGUGUAGUC
rnacentral:rRNA from 1 species